rnacentral:misc_RNA from 1 species
GGAUGAAGAACGUAGCGAAACGCGAUAGGUAAUGUGAAUUGCAGAAUUCCGUGAAUCAUCGAAUCUUUGAACGCACAUUGCGCCUGCUGGUAUUCCGGUAGGCAUGCCUGUUUGAGCGUCAGCAAAAACUCUCAGCUGAAAUUUAUUUUUCUGGCUGGUUAUGGGUGUUUGGAGGAAACUUGGUCCUUUGUGUCCAGCUCCCGCCUUAAACUUGCUGCACGACCGCAAGCUAAUGCUAGGUUAAUGGAGUGGUAUUUUCUUAUAAUUCCAGCAACUGUUCAUAGCUUCCGCGGCGUUAAACCUGAUGUUGCUUAACUGCGACUGAAGUUUGACCUCAAAUCAGACAAGGAUACCCGCUGAACUUAAGCAUAUCAAUAAGCGGAGGA